UGAAUGCUUGUUGCUCUUGCAGGGGAAGGAUCAGUUUCCACAAAUGGGUCUGGAUUCCUCUGAGGUAGAGAGAACUCCGUUGGACUCCAGAGAAAGGCCACUGGGAGACAGAACGAUGCCAGCAAGACCUGUUUGUCCAUCUAUUCUUGGUGGCAAAGGGGACGCUGCCCCUGUGGAACCAGAGCAGGGUCCAGUUUGCUUUGAAGAUGUAGCUGUC